AUGGAACACAUUGAGAAUCCUGUUGAGGGUGACAAUGGAACUCCUGUGAGGAGUAAGAGACAGAGGACUGCAAAGUCUUUUGGUGAUGAUUUCAUUGUGUACCUUGGGGAUGACACACCCAGGACUAUUUCAGAAGCCUAUGCAUCUCCUGAUGCUGACUACUGGAAGGAAGCUGUUCGUAGCGAGAUGGAUUCCAUCUUAGCUAACGGUACCUGGGAGAUCACUGACCGUCCUUAUGGGUGCAAACCUUUAGGAUGUAAGUGGGUGUUCAAGAAGAAGCUUAGACCUGAUGGUACGAUUGAAAAGUACAAGGCACGGCUUGUGGCCAAGGGUUAUACCCAGAAAGAAGGUGAAUACUUCUUUGAUACUUACUCACCCGUGGCUAGACUGACCACAAUUCGGGUGCUACUAUCACUGGCUGCCUCACAUGGUCUUCUCGUUCAUCAAAUGGACGUUAAGACAUCUUUCCUCAAUAGAGAGUUGAAGGAGGAAAUUUAUAUGUUUCAGCCAGAUGGUUUUGUAGUACCUGGUCAGGAAGGAAAGGUGUGCAAGUUAUUAAAGUCUUUAUAUGGCCUUAAACAAGCUCCUAAGGAGUGGCAUGAGAAGUUCGAAAGAACAUUAACUGCUGCCAGCUUUGUAGUAAAUGAUGGUGACAAGUGCGUGUACUAUCGCUAUGGUGGGGGCGAAGGAGUUAUUCUCUGUCUAUAUGUCGAUGACAUACUGAUCUUUGGAACCAAACUUGAUUUAAUCAAGGAGGUUAAGGAUUUCUUAUCUCGCUGUUUUGAGAUGAAGGAUCUAGGAGUAGCUGAUGUUAUCUUAAACAUCAAGCUGUUGAGAGAUGAGAAUGGUGGGAUCACACUGCUUCAGUCUCACUAUGUGGAAAAGGUCUUGAGUCGUUUUGGGUAUAGCGACUGCACGCCUUCUCCAACUCCAUAUGAUGCUAGUGUUGCCACGAGGCCUGACAUCUCUCUUGCUGUGAGCAAGCUGAGUCGGUUUGUGUCAAAACCGGGAGAUGAUCAUUGGCAUGCGCUUGAGAGAGUUAUGCGCUAUUUGAAAGGCACCGCGAGCUAUGGGAUUCACUACACCGGGUAUCCAAGGGUACUGGAGGGUUAUAGUGACUCAAACUGGAUAUCUGAUGCUGAUGAGAUUAAGGCCACAAGUGGUUAUGUUUUAACACUUGCUCCGAUUCGCGCGUUGUUGAAGCAGAGUGGCUUCGUGAACUCUUGA
rnacentral:rRNA from 1 species